GUAGGUGGCAAGCGUUGUCCGGAAUUACUGGGCGUAAAGCGCGCGCAGGUGGGUUCUUUAAGUCUGAUGUGAAAGCCCCCGGGCUCAACCGGGGAGGGUCAUUGGAAACUGGGGAACUUGAGUGCAGGAGAGGAAAGUGGAAUUCCACGUGUAGCGGUGAAAUGCGUAGAUAUGUGGAGGAACACCAGUGGCGAAGGCGACUUUCUGGCCUGUAACUGACACUGAGGCGCGAAAGCGUGGGGAGCAAACAGGAUUGGAUACCCUGGUAGUCCACGCCGUAAACGAUGAGUGCUAAGUGUUGGGGGGUUUCCGCCCCUCAGUGCUGCAGCUAACGCAUUAAGCACUCCGCCUGGGGAGUACGGUCGCAAGACUG
rnacentral:rRNA from 1 species